GAUGAACGCUAGCUACAGGCUUAACACAUGCAAGUCGAGGGGCAGCAUGGUCUUAGCUUGCUAAGGCCGAUGGCGACCGGCGCACGGGUGAGUAACACGUAUCCAACCUGCCGUCUACUCUUGGACAGCCUUCUGAAAGGAAGAUUAAUACAAGAUGGCAUCAUGAGUCCGCAUGUUCACAUGAUUAAAGGUAUUCCGGUAGACGAUGGGGAUGCGUUCCAUUAGAUAGUAGGCGGGGUAACGGCCCACCUAGUCUUCGAUGGAUAGGGGUUCUGAGAGGAAGGUCCCCCACAUUGGAACUGAGACACGGUCCAAACUCCUACGGGAGGCAGCAGUGAGGAAUAUUGGUCAAUGGGCGAGAGCCUGAACCAGCCAAGUAGCGUGAAGGAUGACCGCCCUAUGGGUUGUAAACUUCUUUUAUAAAGGAAUAAAGUCGGGUAUGGAUACCCGUUUGCAUGUACUUUAUGAAUAAGGAUCGGCUAACUCCGUGCCAGCAGCCGCGGUAAUACGGAGGAUCCGAGCGUUAUCCGGAUUUAUUGGGUUUAAAGGGAGCGUAGAUGGAUGUUUAAGUCAGUUGUGAAAGUUUGCGGCUCAACCGUAAAAUUGCAGUUGAUACUGGAUAUCUUGAGUGCAGUUGAGGCAGGCGGAAUUCGUGGUGUAGCGGUGAAAUGCUUAGAUAUCACGAAGAACUCCGAUUGCGAAGGCAGCCUGCUAAGCUGCAACUGACAUUGAGGCUCGAAAGUGUGGGUAUCAAACAGGAUUAGAUACCCUGGUAGUCCACACGGUAAACGAUGAAUACUCGCUGUUUGCGAUAUACAGCAAGCGGCCAAGCGAAAGCGUUAAGUAUUCCACCUGGGGAGUACGCCGGCAACGGUGAAACUCAAAGGAAUUGACGGGGGCCCGCACAAGCGGAGGAACAUGUGGUUUAAUUCGAUGAUACGCGAGGAACCUUACCCGGGCUUAAAUUGCAGAUGAAUUACGGUGAAAGCCGUAAGCCGCAAGGCAUCUGUGAAGGUGCUGCAUGGUUGUCGUCAGCUCGUGCCGUGAGGUGUCGGCUUAAGUGCCAUAACGAGCGCAACCCUUGUUGUCAGUUACUAACAGGUUCCGCUGAGGACUCUGACAAGACUGCCAUCGUAAGAUGUGAGGAAGGUGGGGAUGACGUCAAAUCAGCACGGCCCUUACGUCCGGGGCUACACACGUGUUACAAUGGGGGGUACAGAGGGCCGCUACCACGCGAGUGGAUGCCAAUCCCCAAAACCUCUCUCAGUUCGGACUGGAGUCUGCAACCCGACUCCACGAAGCUGGAUUCGCUAGUAAUCGCGCAUCAGCCACGGCGCGGUGAAUACGUUCCCGGGCCUUGUACACACCGCCCGUCAAGCCAUGGGAGCCGGGGGUACCUGAAGUGCGUAACCGCGAGGAGCGCCCUAGGGUAAAACUGGUGACUGGGGCUAAGAC
rnacentral:rRNA from 1 species